GUCCAUUGUCUCAGCCAGAGAUCCCCACUUGGUCUGAUACAGAGAAAGAAGAACUCUUGUUGUGGGCUCACCCAGUGGUCCACCAGAAGUGGUUGCAGGUGAACAAGCAGUUGGCACAAGGGCAAAGUGAUCACAUCCUGAUUGAGUGGCUAUGGACAGCCAUACAGACUGUGUGGAACAACGCUGGUGAAAUACCCAAACCAUUUAGAAGCAGUAAUGCCUCUCUUGCCUGGGACUGGGAUGGUGUGGCUGAGACUGCCUUACUGGCAGCCAGGUGCGCUAUUCAGCAGCCACAAGCCCUACAAGUAAUUAACCAGGGGCACCUGUUUGAGCUGGAGGUGCAUGUGGCCACAGACGGUUUUGGUUGAGGCUUGUGGCAAUGCACAGAGCGCCUAAGAAUGCCAGUAGGCUUUUGGUCCCAACUAUGGAAAGGAGCUGAACUCCGGUAUUCAUUGAUAGAGAAACAGCUAGCAGCUGUAUAUGCUGGCCUUCGGGCUCAUGAGAGCAUGACAGGACAGGCUGCAGUCAUCAUAUGGACAACUUACCC
rnacentral:lncRNA from 1 species